rnacentral:rRNA from 1 species
UACGGAGGGUGCUAGCGUUGUUCGGAAUUACUAGGCGUAAAGCGCGCGUAGGCGGCUUUGUAAGUUAGAGGUGAAAGCCCGGAGCUCAACUCCGGAACUGCCUUUAAAACUGCAGCGCUUGAAUCCAGGAGAGGUGAGUGGAAUUCCGAGUGUAGAGGUGAAAUUCGUAGAUAUUCGGAAGAACACCAGUGGCGAAGGCGGCUCACUGGACUGGUAUUGACGCUGAGGUGCGAAAGCGUGGGGAGCAAACAGG